rnacentral:rRNA from 1 species
UGAGGAACUUGUCCCGGUCCCUGGGAUAACAGUUGGAAACGACUGCUAAUACCGGAUGACGUCGGAACUUCGCAUGGAGUACUGACGAAAGGGUUACUGGAUCGGGAGAGCCUCGCGGCCUAUCAGCUUGUUGGUGGGUAAUGGCCUACCAAGGCAUCGACGGGUANCUGGUCUGAGAGGAUGAUCAGCCACACGUGGGACUGACGACCACGGCCCAGCUCCG